CCCCCUCCCGCCGCGCCAUUGGCCUCUCCGCCCACCGCCCCACACUUAUUGGCCAGCUCGCCGCCAAUCAGCGGAGGCUGCCGGGGGCCGCCUAAAGAAGAGGCUGUGCUCUGGGGCUCCGGCUCCUCAGAGAGCCUCGGCUAGAUUGAUCCUUAAAGACAAGACAGUUUAAGGCUAUAUAUAUCCCUGCCACCUGAACAGAACCAGGUCUUCGAGAUCAACACACUUUACCUAAUCCCAAGAUGUUGCCUUUUACAUUCUCCGAAGCAAGCAGAGGCACAUGAUUAUCACUGACAAUACUGUUACUAUGCUAAAUACUGCUGUACAGUUUGGAUUUUUUUAAAUAUAGGUAUGGAGUAUGUGUUUUUAUGAAUUAACUCUUUCUGGUUGUGCCUUCCAUAAUCCAUGCAGUGUGUCAUGCAGUUAUUUUUAACUCUUGUAGUUUUGUGCAUAAGGAUAAAGGUGUUUUAUUGUCAUAAUGUUUUAAACAUUUCUCCAAAGUUCCAAAUAAUAAAAUUGCUACUUUAGAAUCUAUUUUAGAAAGAUAUUUGUGGCUCUAUAAGAAGAUGCUUAAUUGUUCCACUAAUCCCAUUUGUGUUUUAAGGUGCUAUUUAAAACUGACAUGGAAGAGUUGGUCAAGAAACUUUUAGGAAGUAAAAUGUAUAUACUGCCUUUAGAGAUCAUUUGACUCGGUGUGUCUUUUGCAACACACUAACUUUGAAUAGUGUUGGCACCAGCUAUAUUGUAGAGUCAUUUUGAAAGGAGUUAUUCCAAUGAAUGUUGGAUUGUUUUGAAUGCUACUGAAUAUUUUAAAUUCUGGCUUUUUGGUGUAUCUCAAAGCAAAACUGUCAGAAGCUUCAAACUAAAAAUUAAAAACAAGUAUUUCAGCAGGAAACUACUUGCUAAGAAAAUUUAGAAACCAUAUAGUUGACAUUGCUGAAUAUCAACCAGGAGAAAAAAAGUGCUAUUAAGUGGUUCUUUUGAGCACUAUAGUAGCUUGUAAUAAAGAUUUUUUUCUACAGAUACAAACUCUAAUCCAUAAUUCAUAGAUGUAUAUGUAAUACUUUACAAAUGGGUGAAGCUACAAGUGUAGUUGGGCUUGUUACUCUGCUUGUAUUUAUGUGAAAACUUGGCAAUAAACCUAUGUCCUAAAAUA